rnacentral:rRNA from 1 species
UACAGAGGGGGCAAGCGUUGUUCGGAAUUACUGGGCGUAAAGGGCGCGUAGGCGGCCUGCUAAGUCGAACGUGAAAUCCCUGGGCUCAACCCAGGAACUGCGUCCGAUACUGGUUGGCUUGAAUCCGGGAGAGGGAUGCGGAAUUCCAGGUGUAGCGGUGAAAUGCGUAGAUAUCUGGAGGAACACCGGUGGCGAAGGCGGCAUCCUGGACCGGCAUUGACGCUGAGGCGCGAAAGCUAGGGGAGCAAACGGG